UGGGGAAUAUUGCACAAUGGGCGCAAGCCUGAUGCAGCCAUGCCGCGUGUAUGAAGAAGGCCUUCGGGUUGUAAAGUACUUUCAGUCGGGAGGAAGGUGUCAAGGUUAAUAACCUUGGCAAUUGACGUUACCGACAGAAGAAGCACCGGCUAACUCCGUGCCAGCAGCCGCGGUAAUACGGAGGGUGCAAGCGUUAAUCGGAAUUACUGGGCGUAAAGCGCACGCAGGCGGUUGAUUGAGUCAGAUGUGAAAUCCCCGGGCUUAACCCGGGAAUUGCAUCUGAUACUGGUCAGCUAGAGUCUUGUAGAGGGGGGUAGAAUUCCAUGUGUAGCGGUGAGAGGCGUAGAGAUGUGGAGGAAUACCGGUGGCGAAGGCGGCCCCCUGGACAAAGACUGACGCUCAGGUGCGAAAGCGUGGGGAGCAAACAGG
rnacentral:rRNA from 1 species